GGAACAUAUACAGGAUGUGCUCCAAGUAAAGCUGUAAGCCCAGAAAAAGACACCAUGAGAUCCUGUUGCCUCCAGACAAUUAUUUAACCUUCCACAGUUUUAAAGAAAUUAAACUACAGUAUAGACAAUUAUUUUGCAAAGGAUCUUGGAAUAAGAAUUACAAACAAAAGAAGUGGGGAUCUCUAAAACGAGGACACGCAUUUUCACCUGAAGCUUUCCCUUGAAUAUCAUCACAUUCCAACUUCAGCUUUGCAGAUUAAAUAUAAGGGAUUUCCUCUACAUCAAUGCCUCCUGGACUAUUGACUAUAAUCUGCCUUAGCAGGAAGCCAAGUAUUUUAGAGAGCUAUAUUGUGUAUCUCUGAGACCAAAAAAGAAGAGCAGCUUCACCUAGGCCUCCUGCAAGUUCCACGAAAUGGCUAAACUGAUGUGGUUCUGUCUUUCCAAAUAAAGGAAUUAAUUUUCAAAAACUGACAAGAAUCUCUGGUAUUCCUGCAUUUGUCUGAGAAAAAGCUCUCCUGUCAUGUGCAGCUACACACCUGCCUCCGGAACCUGGGAGAAGUUAUACCUGUCAUUGCCAACCAUGAAGGCUUGAUGAGGGCUUAGGAGCUUUAUUUCUACAGAAAUAAUCCAUUCUCUGCCAUCUCAUCUGAAGUUCGGAGAAACAAGAAUUGCUUCUCUAUUUUCAAACCUUAUGUUUUCUUUUACAAAUAAAAAUACAUCAAAUUUAUUUAUUGAGUACCUACUAAAAUUACGGGAUCUAUGUCCUUAAGGAAAUCAUGCUGCUGUAGAAAUUCUGAUGUGUUAUACAAUGAUUUAGAAAUGUACUGUGG
rnacentral:lncRNA from 1 species